GCCUGUGGCUAAAUCACCCUAAAUGCAGCUGAUCCCAUUAGAUCUCAAGUUAUGAGGGAUUGAGCCUAGUUAGUACUUGGAUAGGUGACUAUCAAGGCUUUCCAAGUGUUGUAGGAA
rnacentral:rRNA from 1 species